UAUCGGUGUUGUUGGGGGUUGCUGCGUUGUUGUCGCAACUGGAAUGUCUAUUCGUGAUUGAAACUGUAGCGGUGCGGCAGCGGCUGCAGCAGGUUGAUCUAAACAAGGUGCUUGGUCCAUUUCCGUUGGAAAAUGCUGCAAUAAUAAAAUUUUGGAAAUUAUAACCAAGGCUCCGCAGUCCACCAAAGGACACCAAAGGCUUACCAGCCGGAAGUAUCUCGAUGCCGGGUGCCGACUUCUGAACGGGUGUGCCACGGCAAACCGCAACAAAUAUUCGAUGCGGAACCGAACAUCCCGAUCGGGUCUCGAUUUAAACCGAUCGAUCUCCUAAUGGUGGGGAACCGGGGGUGCUAAACCGGUUAAACAUUUUGUCAAUGGGCAUGCGACCAAACAAAACACCGCCCGACGACUGAUGGCGGGGAAGUUUGAAAAUUGUUUAAUUAAUUCGUGACGUUGUUUGCAUUUGUCUUGUUUGGAAUUGCUCGAACUAUCUACCGAUAGAACGCAGAUCGCGACGAAGCUGUCUGUAACGACUAAAACAGUUUUCGGUCUGAAGUCUUCCAUCCGAAUAAAGUCACCAGUAGAACCAGUUUGAUAAGAUAAAAACAAUACAGACUGAACUUGACGUCACUGUCUCAUAUGCCUGAAUGCCAUUCUGCAUAGGAAUUGUUCCAUUACCGUGUGUGUGUGUUCCAAAAUUCGACGCCAAAAUAUAUGCGCUUCAAGAUCACUUGGAGGCCCUCGA